UCGUGUCGAUAUCCGAUA
rnacentral:siRNA from 1 species